rnacentral:piRNA from 1 species
GCUGAAUUAUAAGUGAGUGCUAUAAAUCAA